GGGCCCCAAAAGGCCCCCGAGCCAACACGUUCUACCCUGUCUUUUCGAUACCUCUACCUCCUCCCCGGCCCCCGGGCCGGGAUGGCUACUUCGAAAAAACCUUUGCAGUUUACAGUCAAUUCAGUAUUUUGUAACAAAAUUACAACUUUCAACAAUGGAUCUCUUGGCUCUGGCAUCGAUGAAGAACGCAGCGAAAUGCGAUAAGUAGUGUGAAUUGCAGAAUUCAGCGAAUCAUCGAAUCUUUGAACGCACAUUGCGCCCUUCGGUUAUUCCUUAGGGCAUGCCUGUUCGAGCGUCAUUUCAACCUUCAAGCCUGGCUUGGUGUUGGGCGCUGUCCCGCCUCCGCGCGCGGACUCGCCCCAAAUGAAUUGGCAGUCGCACCCUCCGAGCCGCGAGCGCAGCACAAGUCGCGCGGGCGGAACCCCGGGGGGACGGACGCUCCACAAGACCCUUUCUCAGUCUUGACCUCGGAUCAGGUAGGGAUACCCGCUGAACUUAAGCAUAUCAAUAAGCGGAGGAAAAGAAACCAACAGGGAUUGCCCUAGUAACGGCGAGUGAAGCGGCAACAGCUCAAAUUUGAAAUCUGGCUCCUUUGGGGUCCGAGUUGUAAUUUGCAGAGGGAGCUUUUGGCGUCGGUCGUGGUCUAAGUUCCUUGGAACAGGACGUCACAGAGGGUGAGAAUCCCGUACGUGGCCGCCGGCCUUCGCCUUGUAAAGCCCCUUCGACGAGUCGAGUUGUUUGGGAAUGCAGCUCUAAAUGGGAGGUAAAUUUCUUCUAAAGCUAAAUACCCGCCAGAGACCGAUAGCGCACAAGUAGAGUGAUCGAAAGAUGAAAAGCACUUUGGAAAGAGAGUGAAAAAGCACGUGAAAUUGUUGAAAGGGAAGCGCUUGCGGCCAGACGUGCCCGCGGUUGAUCAUCCAGGCUCCAGCCUGGUGCACUCCUCCGCGGGCAGGCCAGCAUCAGUUCGGGCGGUCGGAUAAAGGCCUCUAUCACGUACCACCCCUCGGGGUGGCCUUAUAGGGGAGGCGCAACACGGCCAGCCCGGA
rnacentral:rRNA from 1 species